GGGGCAUGGCGGCAUUAUGUGUAAUGCAAUCAAAGGACUGUUUGUUUUUGCACAGCGACAGCGCAUUCGAAACGAAGUGUGAAGAUGGAACGAAACUGAUGAAACUUUGCAUGCAAGUGCCUGUGACACAGCUGCACAAUCCAUCAGUUCUGUCGUUAAAUAAAUCAUUUUAAAACAAUGUACGAUAGCUUUUCUCAGAGUGUAUAUUCUAC
rnacentral:lncRNA from 1 species